CUGUUGCAAAAAAGGGCAAGAGGAUCAGAGGAGUUACCGUGAUCCAUUGUUGUUCUCUAUCUUAAGUUUUUAUUUCUCUCUCUAGAAUUUUCUAUCUGCUCGUCCUUCCUCACAAAUUAGGGUUUUUGCGAAUCUCUUGUUAGUCUGUAAUCGAAUCGUAGCCAUGGUUUCCGAUUCAAUCUCUGCCGUGCCGAUUCCCUCCGCCGCAAACACUAAGAACCCCGGGAAGAAGAAGAGGACUAACAGGUCUGCAAAAUUGAAGCAGUAUAAAAUCGAUGCGCGCCGCGAACAGUGGCUUUCGCAAGGUGUGGUGAAGAGUAAGGGAUGCAAGGACGGUGUGGACGAUGGCGUCGUUCACGCGCCGCCGCCGUUGGUAAAUCACGGCAAUCACUCCUUGGAGCCUCUUAACACGAGGCGCGAAGGCGAAGAAGACGACGAAUUGAUUCAUCAUGACAGCGAUUCGGAGUCUCCUACCAACUGUCCUGCCGGCGUAUUGUGUGGCAAUGAUUCGGGAACAAACUUCACCGGAAGCAGUAGUGGCGGGAGCAGCAGCAGCAGUUCAAGCAGCGGCGGGUGCUGUUCCGGGAACAUUACCGAGGAGGAGGAGGAAGAAGGUGAGGACGAGGAUGAUGGUUGCUUGGAUGAUUGGGAGGCCAUGGCAGAUGCUUUAGCCGCCGAUGACAAGCACGAAAUUCCUUGUUCUGAUUCACCCCCUGUGGUUUUACCUCGUGAAGGAUCCAAUUUAGAGUCUCCGAAUUCAAAACCCGAGAGUAGUAGAUUGGUUCCUUGGGGCUCUGGUAGUAGCCGAGCGUGGAGGGCCGAUGACGCCUUUCGCCCUCAGAGUUUGCCCAAUUUGUCUAAGCAGCACAGUAUGCCGAACCCUGAUCGCCGCAGUGUUGGAGGGGUCCCCUGGGCUCGUGUCUCCACGCCUUCCUCGUGUCCUAUUUGCUGUGAGGAUCUGGAUUUGACGGACACCAGUUUCUUGCCUUGUUUUUGUGGGUUUAGGCUUUGCCUCUUUUGCCACAAGAGGAUUCUGGAGGAGGAUGGGCGUUGUCCCGGGUGUAGGAAGCCUUAUGAGUGUGAACCAGUUGAGACAGAGGCGAGUGUGCAUGGAGGCAACCUCACUCUUAAGUUGGCACGUUCCUGCAGCAUGAUCGAGAGGUCUUGAGCCCGUGGUUUGAUUCAGUUUCGGUCAAAGAAUAAUUUGUCCUUCCUGCUUCCUUGGGGUUCAAAUAAGUGGUACAUGACAGGUCUACCAUUGAUUUCAAUCAACUACCAUCCGGUCAUCAUCUUCACUCCUUGUAAUCUUUCAAAAUUGUUACUGGUUUGGGGUUUGUUGUAGUGUAGACAAUGGAACUGAUCACAUGAAAGACAGAUGACACAAUUGUUCGAAUAUUUGAGAAAUAGAACUAUUAUGAGACAUACGAAUACAUACAUAAUCAGGCUGCUCUGCUAGUGGUAGUUAGGUCUAUCCUUUUUUUGUUUGAUGAUGUUCUGAAAUAAGCUAAAGAAAUAGGAAUCUAGUCCAGCUUUUUUACUGGUUAGGUUGUGUUGUUUCUAUGAUGUGUAUUUACACUAAUUUUAAUAUUUUAAAAUACAUUACAAAAUUUUGAAAUAUCAAAAUUGGUGUAACUUGGAGGCACAACAGGAAGAUAACACAACAGCCAAAAAACAUGAAUCCCUUCGGAAUUAGGAUAAAAUUUUAGUAAGUUUGAACGUUCUGAUGAUUAGAUUUAACCAGUGUGAUAAAGUAAUAGCAGUUGCUGGAAUGUCGCUUUGCAAACAGAAGACGUUUGGGCCAUUGAGAGUGGAAACAUGCACAUGAAAAGUUAACUCUUGUAAACGUAAUUGAACAUGCUGUACAUGUGAGUAAAUUAGAUUUGGGAAGUACCCCUAUAACUUUCUGGUUACCUUGCUUGGUUGUUUUGUAUUGGUAAAGUUGUUGAUGUGUAAGGAAAUCGCGAGACCUUUUAUCUCAAAAAAUCUGCAUGUUGUACACACUAAGCAACCAAAUGUAAUAUACCCUGUAUUGUUUUAGAUAUUAUUAUUGCGGUAAGUUCGCUCAGUUUUAUGAAUAGGAAGGUGGGUAAGACUUGAUGAUGCUGUAUCUGGUUUUCUGCGGCUUUGAAGCGUAUGCUUAUGGCAAAAGAUAGGUUUUUAAAUUGAAGAUUGUAAUGGACGGUCAACUAAUAUCUCGAAUGAUAAUUUUCUGCUGUUGUUAGCCAUUAUGCUUUUCCUGUAUAGUGCUUCGUUUGCAGUUCGUAAAAUAGUGGUUGGCACAAUAUUAACUUAAUUGUUUUUACA